UUUACUCUGCCCAAUGAUUUAUUUAAUGGCUGCGGUAUUUUGACUGUACAAAGGUAGCAUAAUCAUUAGUCUUUUAAUUGAAGACUUGUAUGAAUGAGGGGAUGAAAUUUAAACUGUCUCUAUUUAAAUAAUAAAAUUUUAUUUUAAGUAAAAAUUCUUAAAUUUAAUUAAGGGACGAGAAGACCCUAUAGAAUUUUAAAAUUUUAUUUAAAUUAAAUUUAUUAAUUUAAAAUAAUUUAUUUAAAUAGAAUUUUUUUAUUGGGAGGAUAUUUAAAUUUAAAAAACUUUAUUAUUUUAAUAACAAAUAUUAUUGAAUUAAUGAAAAUAAAUUUAUUUUUUUAGAAAAAAUUACCUUAGGGAUAACAGCGUAAUAAAUUUUUAGAGUUCAUAUUAAAAAAUUUGAUUGCGACCUCGAUGUUGAAUUAAAAUAAAAUUUAGGUGUAGAAGCUUAA
rnacentral:rRNA from 1 species